ACUCAAAGGAAUUGACGGGGGCCCGCACAAGCGGUGGAGCAUGUGGUUUAAUUCGAUGCAACGCGAAGAACCUUACCAGGGCUUGACAUCUUGCGAAUCCGAUGGAAACAUUGGAGUGCCCUUUAAGGGAACGCAAAGACAGGUGGUGCAUGGUUGUCGUCAGCUCGUGUCGUGAGAUGUUGGGUUAAGUCCCGCAACGAGCGCAACCCUUGCCCUUAGUUGCCAUCACGUGAAGGUGGGCACUCUAAGGGGACUGCCGGUGACAAACCGGAGGAAGGUGGGGAUGACGUCAAAUCAUCAUGCCCUUUAUGUCCUGGGCUACACACGUGCUACAAUGGCCGGUACAGAGGGCAGCGAACUCGUGAGGGGGAGCCAAUCCCAAAAAGCCGGCCUAAGUUCGGAUUGCAGGCUGCAACUCGCCUGCAUGAAGUCGGAAUCGCUAGUAAUCGCGGAUCAGCAUGCCGCGGUGAAUACGUUCCCGGGCCUUGUACACACCGCCCGU
rnacentral:rRNA from 1 species